rnacentral:rRNA from 1 species
ACCUUGAAAUUGCCUGAGCUCAUCUGAUCUUGGAAGCUAAGCAGGGUC